rnacentral:rRNA from 1 species
CUGCACGCUUGCCGCGUGCCUCAUCCCUGCAAUUCGAGCGCACAGAUGAGGAGCUUGCUCCUCUGACGUUAGCGGCGGACGGGUGAUUAACACUUGGAUAACCUACCUAUAAGCCUGGGUUAACUUCGGGAAACCGGAGCUAAUCCCGGAUAAUAUAUUUAACCGCUUGGUUCAAUAGUGAAAUACGAUUUUUCUGUCACUUAUAUCUGGAUCCGCGCCGCAUUAGCUAGGUGGUAAGGUAACGGCUUACCAAGGCAACGAUGCGUAGCCGACCUGAGAGGGUGAUCGGCCACCCUGGAACUGAGACACGGUCCAGAGUCCUACGGGAGGCAGCAGUAGGGAAUGUUACGCAAUGGGCGAAAGCAUGACGGAGCAACGCCGAGUGAGUGAUGAAGGUCUUCGGAUCGUAAAACUCUGUUAUUAGGGAAGAACAAAUGUGUAAGUAACUAUGCACGUCUUGACGGUACCUAAUCAGAAAGCCACGGCUAACUACGUG